AUUGAACGCUGGCGGCAGGCCUAACACAUGCAAGUCGAACGAGUGGCGGACGGGUGAGUAAUGUCUGGGAAACUGCCAGAUGGAGGGGGAUAACUACUGGAAACGGUAGCUAAUACCGCAUACCAUCAGAUUUGCCCAGUUGGGAGUAGCUUGUCGGUGGGGUAACGGCUCACCCAGGCGACAAUCCCUAGCUGGUCUGAGAGGAUGACCAGCCACACUGGAACUGAGACACGGUCCAGACUCUGACGGGAGGCAGCAGUGGGGAAUAUUGCACAAUGGGCGCAAGCCUUAUGCAGCCAUGCCGCGUGUAUGAAGAAGGCCUUCGGGUUGUAAAGUACUUUCAGCGGGGAGGCGUUACCCGCAGAAGAAGCACCGGCUAACUCCGUGCCAGCCGCCGCGGUAAUAC
rnacentral:rRNA from 1 species